CUCAAAGUUUGCCCGCGGAAAACAUGCAAACUUGACAUGCAAACUCAAGACUUAUGACAGCGUAUUAGGUCCAAGUACGAAAAAAAUAAAUAAAUCGGAUCCGGGGGAGGGGGUUAAUAUUUUGAGAAAAACAUAUUUUUAUGAGAUUAAAGUUUUCAUGGGCUCUGGUGCAGCGCACCACGCCCCCUCAUCAGAGGAGAUCUGCUGCACCUGCAAAGCUCAGCUGGAGCUCAUUCUGAGCUCAUCAAGCUCCAGCAUUUAAGCCUCACCAGCCCAGCACCAGUUGCCAGAUUGUCUUUGUACCAUGCAGAACUUUCCAGCGCUUUUUCUCGGCUUGACUUCCCGGUUCCAAUCCCGUCUGUUCCUGACUCCGUCUCCUCAUCUCUGCCUUGAGAAGUCCUCGCUGGCUAUCUCUGGAGUUUCCUGAGGAGCUCAGUGUUCGACCGGCCUACCCUGCCGGUUCAUUCCUACAUCGUGGGCGGUCACUACUGAACUCGCCUUCCCUGCUUCAGAGCUCUACUCAUGACUUUUGUAUUUCUGUUACAUUCAGAGACUCUAGUCUCUAGCAAGACUGUGUUCCUGUUUAUUGAUUCCUGUGUUACCUGCUAUGUGUGGAACAAUAAAAGAGACCUUGUUCUCAAUCUUGGUUGUGCCGCAGUG